rnacentral:tRNA from 1 species
GGACGUGUAGCACAGCGGGUUGGUGCAGCGGCCUGAUAAGCCGAAGGUCGGAGGUUCGAGCCCUCCCACGUCCA